GAUGAACGCUGGCGGCGUGCCUAAUACAUGCAAGUCGAGCGAACGGACGAGAAGCUUGCUUCUCUGAUGUUAGCGGCGGACGGGUGAGUAACACGUGGAUAACCUACCUAUAAGACUGGGAUAACUUCGGGAAACCGUAGCUAAUACCGGAUAAUAUUUUGAACCGCAUGGUUCAAUAGUGAAAGACGGUCUUGCUGUCACUUAUAGAUGGAUCCGCGCUGCAUUAGCUAGUUGGUAAGGUAACGGCUUACCAAGGCAACGAUGCAUAGCCGACCUGAGAGGGUGAUCGGCCACACUGGAACUGAGACACGGUCCAGACUCCUACGGGAGGCAGCAGUAGGGAAUCUUCCGCAAUGGGCGAAAGCCUGACGGAGCAACGCCGCGUGAGUGAUGAAGGUCUUCGGAUCGUAAAACUCUGUUAUUAGGGAAGAACAUAUGUGUAAGUAACUGUGCACAUCUUGACGGUUCCUAAUCAGAAAGCCACGGCUAACUACGUG
rnacentral:rRNA from 1 species